rnacentral:rRNA from 1 species
UACGGAGGGUGCAAGCGUUGUCCGGAUUUAUUGGGUUUAAAGGGUGCGUAGGCGGCCCGUUAAGUCGGUGGUGAAAGCCUCCAGCUCAACUGGAGAACUGCCAUUGAUACUGGCGGGCUUGAGUACAGACGAGGUAGGCGGAAUUGAUUGUGUAGCGGUGAAAUGCAUAGAUACAAUCAAGAACACCGAUUGCGUAGGCAGCUUACUAGGCUGUAACUGACGCUGAGGCACGAAAGCGUGGGGAGCGAACAGG